rnacentral:rRNA from 1 species
ACGGAAGGCAGCAGUGAGGAAUAUUGGUCAAUGGACGGAAGUCUGAACCAGCCAUGCCGCGUGAAGGAUGAAUGCCCUAUGGGUUGUAAACUUCUUUUGCCGCAGAGUAAUAAGGGUCCUGCGGGGCCCGAUGAGAGUAUGCGGCGAAUAAGCAUCGGCUAACUCCGUGCCAGCAGCCGCGGUAAUACGGAGGAUGCGAGCGUUAUCCGGAUUUAUUGGGUUUAAAGGGUGCGUAGGCGGGAUGUUAAGUCAGCGGUGAAAGUUUGCGGCUCAACCGUAAAAUUGCCGUUGAAACUGGCGUUCUUGAGUGUAAACGAGGUAGGCGGAAUGUGACGUGUAGCGGUGAAAUGCUUAGAUAUGUCACAGAACCCCGAUUGCGAAGGCAGCUUACCAGCAUACAACUGACGCUGAGGCACGAAAGCGUGGGUAUCAAACAGGAUUAGAUACCCUGGUA